GCGGCUGUGAAACAAGACGAUGCGGCCGUACCGCUGGCUGUUGUUCGUGCUUCUAGUGGCCAGCACAGACGGCCUAGACGGAGACGUGAUAUCAGCAACACCUGUCCAGGCCACGAUAAAAGUAAGCCACACAGUGUUUGAUUUGCCUGAAAGAUGCCAGACUGGAUACGUGCUUGUGAACGGGAAAUGUGAGAGGACGGUGACCUUACAGACAACAGGUGUAAAACAGAGAGGGGAAGACGAAGUUUGCUGAUGAGGCAGACUUUAUGGUGCUUACUGAUUUUUGACAUUGGAAAUGGACAACAUGAAAAGCCAGCACAGGAGGUGGAACAUGAUGUAUAGGGAUUGUAGAAGAAACAGACUACGACAUACAGCUAUCUUGUCAUGGAUGUACUGCACAUAAUCUGACACAAUUCUGUCUCUCUUAUCACCUUUCCUAUCGUGGCAUCAAAAAUCAAUUACGGAUGGCACUCCUGACGUGAAGGUUACAACUAGAAAUACACGAAUUCCGAGUAUCACUUGACAGAUAAUGUACUUGCACCGCAUUUUGCAUUGAUUUCAUUUUUAUGGUGGGGAAGCGGUGCAAGCAGAGGUUAGGUUGUGGCUUCGUCAAGAUAGUCAAA